rnacentral:rRNA from 1 species
UUGGGGGAAGCGCCGCGAAGUAGAUUUUAAAUAAGGUCAAACAUUAUAAAUAAUAAAUAUUGGUUUAUUAUUUGUAUAUCUUUUUAUCCCUCUACCUUUUGCGAGCAAAACUGCGAGCAAAAGGUAGGAGUAGGAUUUAUUUAAAUUAAUAAAUUAAACGAUUCCUACUCCCCUCACUCCUACGGACACAACUGUGACUGUGAGGACUCCUUCCUUUUGCUCGCAAAAGCAAGAUGGAGCCUCCUACGGACAGGGAGAAAGAGUCGGAGAAAAUUGAUUUGAUUAUUCAUUUAUUUGAGUAAUUAGUGUAGUUAUUCUUUAAUAUGUAAUUUUAUUAUAUUUUUUACUAGGUAUUUAACUGCUUUUUUUAGGUCUAAUUAGUUUCGACUAACCCAUCUGAGUAACAUCUCAAAAGUCAUAGCAAGGUA